UUCUGAAUUGUCUUUCUGUUCUGCCUAUAUAAUAGGCAGGACAGAUAUUACAUUUAGCAAUAUAAACCAACAUGCUGGUUUUGCAAUUUCCUUGUGUGGGUCUAAUAAUGGUGUUGUUAACG